rnacentral:rRNA from 1 species
UACGUAGGUGGCAAGCGUUGUCCGGAUUUAUUGGGUUUAAAGGGUGCGUAGGCGGCCCUGUAAAUCAGUGCUGAAAUAUCCCGGCUUAACCGGGAGGGUGGCAUUGAUACUGCGGGGCUAGAGUACAGAUGAGGUAGGCGGAAUUGACGGUGUAGCGGUGAAAUGCUUAGAUAUCGUCAAGAACACCUAUAGCGAAGGCAGCUUACUAGGCUGUAACUGACGCUGAGGCACGAAAGUGUGGGGAUCAAACAGG